GUGGGGAAUUUUGGACAAUGGGCGCAAGCCUGAUCCAGCAAUGCCGCGUGCAGGAAGAAGGCCUUCGGGUUGUAAACUGCUUUUGUACGGAACGAAACGGUCCGGGUUAAUACCCUGGGCUAAUGACGGUACCGUAAGAAUAAGCACCGGCUAACUACGUGCCAGCAGCCGCGGUAAUACGUAGGGUGCAAGCGUUAAUCGGAAUUACUGGGCGUAAAGCGUGCGCAGGCGGGUUUGUAAGACAGGCGUGAAAUCCCCGGGCUCAACCUGGGAGUUGCGCUUGUGACUGCAAGGCUGGAGUGCGGCAGAGGGGGAUGGAAUUCCGCGUGUAGCAGUGAAAUGCGUAGAUAUGCGGAGGAACACCGAUGGCGAAGGCAAUCCCCUGGACCUGUACUGACGCUCAUGCACGAAAGCGUGGGGAGCAAACAGGAUUAGAUACCCCUGUAGUCC
rnacentral:rRNA from 1 species